rnacentral:rRNA from 1 species
AUUGAACGCUGGCGGCAGGCCUAACACAUGCAAGUCGAACGAGUGGCGGACGGGUGAGUAAUGUCUGGGAAACUGCCUGAUGGAGGGGGAUAACUACUGGAAACGGUAGCUAAUACCGCAUACCAUCGGAUGUGCCCAGAUGGGAUUAGCUUGUAGGUGAGGUAACGGCUCACCUAGGCGACGAUCCCUAGCUGGUCUGAGAGGAUGACCGGCCACACUGGAACGACGACACGGGCCAUACUCUUACGGGCGGCAGCAGUGGGGAAUAUUGCACAAUGGGCGCAAGCCUGAUGCAGCCAUGCCGGGGGUAUGAAGAAGGCCUUCGGGUUGUAAAGUACUUUCAGCGGGGAGGCGUUACCCGCAGAAGAAGCACCGGCUAACUCCGUGCCAGCAGCCGCGGUAAUAC